rnacentral:rRNA from 1 species
GACGAACGCUGGCGGCGUGCUUAACACAUGCAAGUCGAACGGAAAGGCCCUGCUUUUGUGGGGUGCUCGAGUGGCGAACGGGUGAGUAACACGUGAGUAACCUGCCCUUGACUUUGGGAUAACUUCAGGAAACUGGGGCUAAUACCGGAUAGGAGCUCCUGCUGCAUGGUGGGGGUCGGAAAGUUUCGGCGGUUGGGGAUGGACUCGCGGCUUAUCAGCUUGUUGGUGGGGUAGUGGCUUACCAAGGCUUUGACGGGUAGCCGGCCUGAGAGGGUGACCGGCCACAUUGGGACUGAGAUACGGCCCAGACUCCUACGGGAGGCAGCAGUGGGGAGUAUUGCACAAUGGGCGGAAGCCUGAUGCAGCAACGCCGCGUGCGGGAUGACGGCCUUCGGGUUGUAAACCGCUUUCGCCUGUGACGAAGCGUGAGUGACGGUAAUGGGUAAAGAAGCACCGGCUAACUACGUG